UACGGAGGUGGCAAGCGUUGUUCGGAAUUACUGGGCGUAAAGGGCGCGUAGGCGGCAAGGCAAGUCAGGUGUGAAAGCCCCGAGCUUAACUCGGGAAUUGCAUCUGAAACUGCUGUGCUUGAGUUCUGGAGGGGGUAGUGGAAUUCCCAGUGUAGCGGUGAAAUGCGUAGAUAUUGGGAGGAACACCUGCGGCGAAGGCGGCUACCUGGACAGAAACUGACGCUGAGGCGCGAAAGCUAGGGGAGCGAAC
rnacentral:rRNA from 1 species